CACUCUGGGAGUGUGUGUGGCCACCACAUGCUCUCCCACACCCACUUAAUAUCUGGAGGAUCAUGGGAAAAUGUAAGCUAAGUGUGCCAUUAGCAGGUGGGAUGAUGACCAUGUAAAUGGAAAUAAGCUUUCUGGAAAGCAAUUUGGUAUGGACUAUCAUAAGACUCCAACAUACUGUAUGUUGAACUUACCUCCAUAGGUCUGACAUACAGAAAUACAAUGACAGACGGGCCUGAAAUUAAUGGAUACAAGAAGGGGUUCCUCCACAUGCCUACUACCUCUUCUCUUUUGUGUUAUUUGGUUUUGUUUUGAGCCUAGGUCUCCCUACAUGGUCUAGGCAGGCCUGAACUUACCCAUCCUUCUUCCUCAUCCCCUCAAAAGCUGACAUUAUAGGCCUGUGCCACCAUGCCUGCCUCCCUUCUACUUCCUCCAUAACUGGCCCAAUCCAAGGCCUCACCCCAGGAGCUUACUCCUGGUCUCCUACCCACUGCCAGCCUGCCUGCAUGAGGUGUCCUUCUAAGCCCUCUCAUUAUAUUGUUUGUAAGCUCUUCUGAUGCAAGUACAUCCUGGAUUAUUUCAAUUCACUUGAUUUGUAUCUCCCCAAAGAGGCUGUGAAUUCCCUGAUACAUGGAUCAUCUUAGACUCCAAAAUAAAAGAAGGAAGCGACUCCCAUGAUAUUCAUGCUUCUGCCAACAAAAAAAGUGUUCUUUAGCCUGAAUGGUGUACAUACAGAAUAUUUUAGAGGAAAGUGAUAGACCUUGCAGGCACCUGCCCCUCUUUCCUCAUUUUCCUGUCUCUCAUUAUGACUCAGUUCUGAUAUUCUCAUGGCAAUCACCGGUCCUAGAACACAGACUUAUGUUUUCACUUGGCCACAGAGAUUCAACCUCUGAAGGAUUUCUCACGUCUGCUUGUCAGGACUGGAGAUUGAGAGAGCUUAUCUUUCAGCCUCAGGACUUGACAGAGACAGAAUACAACUAUAAUUUCAUGGCAACCCCAAACCCCAGCAGUGACUGCUCAGACUCAGAGCAGUCCCAUAUGAAAAUAAAUUCCACAGAGAGCCUCACAGGCAGUGAUCUCCCUGAUUCCCACACUUUCCACAAAGAGACAAAAACCUUCUUCAAAAGUUAUGUCUGUCACCAGGAGACAGUCAAUGGCCUCCCUGUUGUGGAAGGACCAGAGGACUCACAAAGUCUAGGAAGAUGUAUUGACAACAACUCUGACACCCACCACUGAGGACUACCCAAACCAGGUGUGUAUACAGAUUUAUCCUGAUGUGGAAGAGGAUGAGGAGACAGAUUCAGAUAGCAAAGGCACAGGAGCUGAUCAAAUUGUCACAACCAACAACCAGUGGAAAAAUAAGAAUUUAACAUACAGAGGGCCAUGUAUUGAUCCUGUGGAUGGCUGGCCAGUAAUUCAGCUUCUCAGUCCCAAACCCACUGAGGAACAAGCAACAGAAGAUAGUAACAAUGAGGAGAGAAAGGAGGAAAAUGAAAGCUAUGGAGAUGAACAUGAGGAAGCAAAUAAACUAAGUGAAAACUGCAAAGACCAAGAUGAAGGCAUGCUAAUGGGAUCAACUGAAAAAGAAAAAGAGGACAUGAAGAUCAAGAACAACAAAGACACCCAGAGUAAUGAAAAAGAGUAUGUGGAGCUUUACAAACAGGUGUAUGAAAGAUCUGAUGAUACCAGGCUUCCUGAUUCCAGUGAGGAUGAUGGAAAUACAGCACAAUGAGACCUACUUGGAGAAGAAAAACAUCCAAAACAAUGAAGACCCUCAGGACAAUGAUAAACAAAGCCAUGACUUUGACAAAGACAACACCCUCCAACUCUGAGAACCACCUGAGGAAAACUUCCAGCUGGGCAGCAGCUCCCCUCCUCAUCCAGCUCAGGUCCCAUGUGAAGAACACCAUGCAUGUGAGGACCUGCCCACAUGCAAACCACCAGAAAAUACACAAGUCACCCAAGUCCCAGAGAUGCCGGCAAUGCUCCCGGAAGAUGAACCUGCUGAGAUGCUAAAGACCAGGACCAAGGAGUCCUCCUCAGUCUCCCUGGGGGAGUCAGAGGAGGAUGACACUGGAUCUGACACACAAACCACAACCUGUGUGAACUGGAGGCAAGCCUUCUGCUGGCUCCAGAAAAGAGUCCUCUCAUGUGUGGGGAGGAGAUUGACAGCAGCCCAUGAGCAACCCCAGCCAAGAAAAUUCUUCCCACCUCUAAGGAAACCCACCCCAAAGAAACGCUCAGUGAUUAAUUAGCACAACUCAAUCCACUAAGCACACUAAGCAGUGUGAUGGCCCCAAUUCUAUAGUCCUGUAGUUUUAUUGUUUUAAGUAAAAUAUACAUUCUUGUUCUCCGUGUCUGCUCCCUCCAGCACAUCUUCUUGAUGCAGGCUGAAAGGAGCCAUGUUGUGUAGAGGACUGAAAUUCAUUUUCAGAAACUGAUAGUUAGCAUGUGCUUCCUGAAGUAUGCUGCUUCUCUCCUUUCACCCUCCUGCCCAGGUUUUGUUCAAUCUCACUGACUUUAUCCAUUUCAGGGAUUUCAUACUGUUUUGUCACUAACUCACAUCCCCACAUUUAGAAACCAGCAGCACAACCAUCAGACCCUCACCAGGGUGGCAUGCUUUGGGGUGAUUGUCCAGCACCUGAGCAAGCAGCAGUGCAGGUCCAGUCAUUCAGGGAGCCGACUCCAGUUGACAGUGUUUGGAGCAUGCAGAAAGCAAUGCUCAUGGUCCUGGGACACCAGGCUUCUUCUGGCAUCUUGGUGACUCCUAUUAGUAACAAAAUCUCAGACAUGCCAGUGGCACACUCCUGCAAUCCCAGCUACUCUCCUGGCUAGAUUCUUAAAUAUAUUUAAUUACCAAAACUUAGCCAAAAUUUACAAGCCCUGAAUAAUUUAAUAGUGAACAGUGAAAUUGAAGCAGCAAUAAUAAUGAAAAAGAGUACCAGCUAAGAAAAGCCCAGAUCCUGAUAGAGUCACUGCUGAACUCCACAAGAACUUCAGAGAGGAUCUCAUGGCCUCUUUAAACUCUAAUGAAAUUGAAAGGGAAGUCAUUCCUAGAACUACCAUUACCCACAUUCCAAAUCCAGCCAAGGAUCUCAACCAAAAAAGGG